rnacentral:tRNA from 1 species
GGUCUUAUAUUUUAUAUAAAUUAUUAAAUUGCAAAUUUAAAGAAGUGUUCCUAAGACUU